rnacentral:rRNA from 1 species
AGCGAACGCUGGCGGCAGGCUUAACACAUGCAAGUCGAACGCCCCGCAAGGGGAGUGGCAGACGGGUGAGUAACACGUGGGAACGUACCCUUUGGUUCGGAAUAACUUGGGGAAACUCAAGCUAAUACCGGAUAAGCCCUUAUGGGGAAAGGUUUACUGCCGAAGGAUCGGCCCGCGUCUGAUUAGCUAGUUGGUGAGGUAAUGGCUCACCAAGGCGACGAUCAGUAGCUGGUCUGAGAGGAUGAUCAGCCACACUGGGACUGAGACACGGCCCAGACUCCUACGGGAGGCAGCAGUGGGGAAUAUUGGACAAUGGGGGCAACCCUGAUCCAGCCAUGCCGCGUGAGUGAUGAAGGCCUUAGGGUUGUAAAGCUCUUUUACCCGGGACGAUAAUGACUGUACCGGGAGAAUAAGCCCCGGCUAACUUCGUGCCAGCCGCGGUAAAAC